AUGUCUGUCGAUGAAGUCUAUUCAGCUAACACAAGAGCAUUCUGCCAGGCAGCACAGAACCCUAACCUACAGAGAGCUGCAGAGAAACACCACGGAGAGGUGGAGGAGGAGGAUGAAGCACUUCAUAAACAGAGAAAUUCAAAAGGAAGAAGGGAUGUGCUGUGAGAUUUGGGAAUGUCUACGUGGGAAAGGCCUGCUGGCUAUAUUGAGGUACAGUGGCUCACACCUAUAAUCCUAGCACUCCGGGAGGCCG